rnacentral:piRNA from 1 species
UCCCUGUGAGUGGAAUGGCUUCUCAAAU